AAGACGAUGGUGGUUGCAGAUCAAAGCAUGAUUCAGUUGCAGAAGACGAUGGUGGUUGCAGAUCUGGUGGUUGGUGGAAGGUGGUGACUGGUUCAUUCUGGGGUGUUGGUGGUUGAUAGCGGCGACAGUGGGUGGUUGUAGAAGGUGGUGGAGGGUGGGUGGUUGGUGGCGCCGGAGUUCGGAACGUCGUCGGAGUCAAGAUCUAGUAAUGAAACAGAUCCAUAAAGAUAUUCAAUUGACAAGCUGGAUGGAUGUAGGCGACGUUAAUGCGGGGACAAUGAAUAAGUCAACUCUUUUGGGAAAGAAGUUUUCGUUCGUUUAUAACAUGUGUUAGUGGUUCAUGUUGUAACAGAUCCAUAAAGAAGUUUUCAUGCUGUAACAAGUUUUUGUUCGUUUCUAACAUGUUUUGCACAUUUUGGAAUGUAUAACAUGUGUUAAGCC